rnacentral:lncRNA from 1 species
AACAAGAGGCUGUCACAACGACAGCAAACCAGAUUUAUUAACAUUUAUUUGUGUCCUGGCAAUAUCACAAGAACCAUUACUGAUGAAUGGUGAAAGUGAAAAUCGUCAAUAUCAAAUUUGACCUCCAUUUUGUCAUCAGUAUCAACAUAUUAAAAUUUGAAAAGCUUAGAUUGAAUGGUUCAUGAGUAAAUGCAACAACCUGAAUGGAAACGCCAUUUUACGAUCUUUCAAGAACCAUAACUCCUGAACGGUAAAAGUCAAAAUCGUCAUUAUUGAACUUGACCUCUAUUUUGUCAUCAGUAACAACAUAUUAAAAUUUCAAAAGCUUUGGUUGAAUGGAUCAUGAGAAAAUGCACGGACACGACGGGAAAAACCAUUUUUCAAUCUUUCAAGAACCAUAACUCCUGAACGGUAAAAGUCAAAAUCGUCAUUAUUGAACUUGACCUCCAUUUUGUCAUCAGUAACAGCAUAUUAAAAUUUCGGAAGCUUUGGUAGAACAGUUCAUGCAUAAAUGCACGGACACGACUGGAAACUCCAUUUUUCAAUCUUUCAAGAACCAUAACUCCUGAACGGUAAAAGUCAAAUUCGUCAUUAUUGAACUUGACCUCCAUUCUUUCAUUAGUAACAACAUAUUAAAAUUUGGGAAGCUUUGGUAGAACAGUUCAUGCGUAAAUGCACGGACAACUCCAUUUUUCAAUCUUUCAAGAACCAUAACUCCUGAACGGUAAAAGUCAAAAUCGCCAUUAUUGAACUUGACCUUCAUUUAGUUGUCAGUAACAACAUAUUAAAAUUUUAAAAGCUUUGGUUGAACGGUUCAUGAGUUAAUGCACGGACAACAUUUGAUUGCCGCCCGCCCGCCCGCCCGCC